CCCAGACUCCUACGGGAGGCAGCAGUGGGGAAUAUUGGACAAUGGGGGGAACCCUGAUCCAGCGACGCCGCGUGAGUGAAGAAGUAUUUCGGUAUGUAAAGCUCUAUCAGCAGGGAAGAAAGAAAUGACGGUACCUGACUAAGAAGCCCCGGCUAACUACGUGCCAGCAGCCGCGGUAAUACGUAGGGGGCAAGCGUUAUCCGGAUUUACUGGGUGUAAAGGGAGCGUAGACGGCGAUGCAAGUCUGAAGUGAAAGCCCGGGGCCCAACCCCGGGACUGCUCUUGGAACUGCGUGGCUGGAGUGCAGGAGGGGCAGGCGGAAUUCCUGGUGUAGCGGUGAAAUGCGUAGAUAUCAGGAGGAACACUGGUGGCGAAGGCGGCCUGCUGGACUGCAACUGACGUUGAGGCCCGAAAGCGUGGGGAGCAAACAGGAUUAGAUACCCCAGUAC
rnacentral:rRNA from 1 species